rnacentral:rRNA from 1 species
UACGAAGGGGGCUAGCGUUGCUCGGAAUCACUGGGCGUAAAGGGUGCGUAGGCGGGUCUUUAAGUCAGGGGUGAAAUCCUGGAGCUCAACUCCAGAACUGCCUUUGAUACUGAAGAUCUUGAGUUCGGGAGAGGUGAGUGGAACCGCGAGUGUAGAGGUGAAAUCCGUAGAUAUUCGCAAGAACACCAGUGGCGAAGGCGGCUCACUGGCCCGAUACUGACGCUGAGGCACGAAAGCGUGGGGAGCAAACAGG